UUGAAGAAUGAGAUCUUGUUUAUAAAGGAAGGGGACAGCAGACGUGGGUAGUUUAAUGACCAUCUCCCCUCCUGGGGAGCCCAGUUGGCAGAGGGAGAUCCUCAGGAGGUUGUCAUAAAUAACCAGGCCCUCAUGCUCACUUCCUCAGAAGGAAGUCUCAGUAACGAUUGAUGUGGUCUGUUUGGGCAAAGUUGGGAGCCCAGAAUAACGCUCCCUGGCAGAUCUGCUUGUAAAGUUUCACAUUAACCCCAGCCCGCCUGGGAGCCAGGCCCUCGGACAUCCUUGCAAGGCCUGCUCAAGAAUCUCAAGAAGAGACAGAAUUUCAGGUGAGGGGAGAAGUGAGAGGUCAGGCUGUGUGCACGCAGAGUGAAGGAUAGACUCCAGAUACGGUUCAGAGAGAAAGCCUUCUAGAGUUUCCUGUGGGAUCCUUACGAGGAUUUUCUUCCUCAUUCUUCUCUCUCAGAACUUCCAGAACAAGACUCAGCAUAUGGCAGGCAUCAUUAAAACCUACGUGAAUCGACAUGACAGCAACGCUGAAGCUGAAAGGAGGAGCCGAAGAGGAUGGAAGAAUGUGGGGGAAGAGCCUGAGACAAAACUCUGCUGACUUCAAGAUUUGGCUGACCCACGUCUUAAUCCCCCCAAGAGAGACGUCAUUAAAGGCUUGUUGACUUAGCUCUAUGUGCAGCCUGAAGCUUUCUGAGCUUCCCCACCCACUCCCCGUCCUCCUCCUCUCCCUGGCCUGGGAGAAACAGUCAGGCUUCCUCCGUCAUGCAGCUUCUCCUCCGGACUUUUCCAUUUGAGCAAGAGAUUGCCCUGAAGCUGCUAACAAUUGGGAUCAGAGACCUCCUUGCCAGACAAGAGGGUAAACCCAAUCCCUGUAGCUGGCAUCAGUUUCUUAGCAUGGAGAUCUGACCUCUGAAAACUUGGCAGAACAACCCACUUCGGACGGAAGGAAGAACAGGCACUCUAGCGAAGUUUUUCUGAGAAGAAGAAAAUGCCCUGCUCUGUGUCCACCUCACCAACUUCUCUUGAGCCCUUGGAGAGGGCAGGAAACAGACCUCCGUGUCUCCCAGGCUUCUACUGUAAUGAGAGAAUAGAAAUUAGAGGAGAAGGUGGGAGCUCUGAUGGCCACGGACCAAGUGAGAUGACGUUCAGACGGAGAGGAAUUGGGGGCAAAGAUCGCUUUAAGACAAAGGGAAGCAUGGCUAUCCCUCUCUGUGGAUUUAUCAGGGAUGGAAAGGGGCUGGCAUAAAGAUGAACAUCUCCCUUCGAAAACCUAUAACUCCAUGCUCCACAUUAUCUAAUAGGAGACCAGUACACUGGCAGACGCCACCAGCAACAGAUGGAAACAGAUCAAGCCAAUGUGACAACAGGGACUUUUCCACCAGUGACAAGCAGCCGCUUAUUUAAGGUGACCUCUGUUAUCCCCCUUUUUCCCCCUUCUUCCCUCAGUUGAGAGGCACGAGACCCAGAAAAGAAAGGAGGAGGAGUGAAAGACAAUCUCAAGCCCCCUUCCCACUCUUGGAACUUGAGUUACAAGUCUGGCAAACUCUGAAGGGAGGAGAACAAUAGGAUAUUAUAUUGAAGGUGUGAACUGGACCGGACUGGACUUUGAGUAACUGAUAUUGAUAGGAAAAUGAUGAGAUCUGCCUGGAGAUGUAUAUCAUUAGGAAAUGAGACUGAGCAACUGGGUAGAGCACGGUCAACUGCAGUGAAUGGAGAGAAUGAGCUGAUCUUUCUUUAUAUCCCAAUGAAUUGAGGAUUCUCAAUAAACUGGUUACAUCUGA